AUGUAUGCUAUAAAGAACAAUGAUAACCAUGAAACUUGUCAUCUUGAUUUUAAUUUUCAAUUGGAUUAUGCCUCACAUGACAGUUAUUUUGUUGAGUUUGCUCCCAUUACUAUUCAUGAGAAGAAAUUUGCUUAUGUGGAGAGUAGUAAAUUUUCUAUGCUUGUAGAUCAUGAAAAGAAUGCUUUAGGUGCUGGUUAUAUUGUUGAAUUCAUUCAUUGUGCUACUGAAAAUUAUUAUGAGGGAGGAAUAUAUGCUUGUAGGAAUUGCAAUAAUAUCAAGUUUCCUCUCUAUGUGCUUAAAAUCUUGAAGUUGUGCUUGCUUUACCUUCCUAUGCAAGUUGAUUCUUGUUCCCAUAAGUUGUUUGCUCACAAAAUCCCUAUGCAUAGGAAGCAUGUUAGACUUAAAUGUGCUAGUCAUAUUCUUCAUGAUGCUCUCUUUAUGUUACAAUUCUUAUCUUUUAUGUGA
rnacentral:rRNA from 1 species